rnacentral:lncRNA from 1 species
GAGUGGGGUCAAGGCGAAGUGGAGUCCGACGUCACGGCGGCUCUGGGCACGACUGAGGUUAGUGUCGCGGCAGAUCAAGGUGCAACGGUGACUCAAGGCAAAGGUGAAAUGCGGACGAGGCCGAGGGACGGCUCGUUGCAGAACAGGGUGGAGCCGACGUGUCAGAGGCACAGGUAGCGGCCCGUGGCAUGGCGGAGUGAGAACAAACGGUAUGGUGCACCGAGGGUGCUGGCGGCUCGGAAUCGAAUUCGAACCCGAGACGACUCCGAGAGACGCCGGUGAGGCGGGGCGAGACCGGCUUGGGCCACGACGAGGUAACGGCGGGAGAAGC